GGAAAAGACAUGAGGAUAAUUGUUUAUGGCUUUCGUCCUCGAACCAAGCAGAGACGUUCAGUGUUUGAUGCAUUACUGAAAUGUAGCAAGCCAGAGAGAGUAUGGGAUCUUUAUACUUUUGCUUGUGGGCCUUCCAAAUUUGGUAACGCAAACCCAAAGGAAAGAUUGCUUAAUGAAUAUUUCCGUCUUCUCGGAAAAAGUUCAAUACGAGCAUCAGCGGAUAUGAUUGAAGAUGGUUCGUUCACAUUGUCCAAUGAGCUGUGGCGAAUAAGUGACUUGAACUCCAAUUAUAACUUGUGUCAGACGUACCCAUUUGCCUUUAUGGUUCCAAAAUCCAUAAGGUAUGACACUGAUAUCUUUUCAGGAUUU